UUUGAAUAAUCUCCACACUGUUUUCUACUAGCGUGUUACCACUAACAGCGUAUAAGCUUUUUCUUUUCUCUACAUCCUCACCAACAUGUUAUUUUGUCUUUCUAAGACUAGCUAUUCUGACCGGGGUAAGAUGAUAUCUCAUUGUGGUUUUGGUUUCCAUUUCCCUGAUCAUAAGUGAUGUUGAGCAGUUUUUUUGUAUACCUCUUGGCCAUUUGUAUGUUUUCUUUUGAGAAAUAUAUAUAUAUAUAUAUAUGUGUAUAUAUAUAUGUGUAUAUAUAUAUAUAUAUAUUCAUGUCCUUUGGCCAUUUUUUAAUGAGAUUAUUUGUUUUUUUUUCCUGUUGAGUUUUUUGAGUUCCUUGAAUAUUCUGGAUGUUAGUCCCCUGUCGGAUGAAUAGUUUGCAAAUAUUUUCCCCCAUUCAACAGGUUGUCUCUUUACUCUGUUUAUUAUUUCUUUUGCUGUGCAGAAGCAUUUUAAAAAUUAAGUCCCUUUUGUCUCCUAGAUUUUAUUGUCUGAUCUUUUAAGGUCUUAGUCGUAAGUUCUUUGUCUAGAACAAUAUACAGGAGGGGUUUCCUUAGGUUUUCUACUAGUAUUUUUAUAGUUUCAGGUCUUAUAUUUAAGUCUUUAUUUUGAGUUGAUUUUUGUACAGUGAGAAAUAGAGGUCUAGUUUCAUUCUUCUGAUUGCUUUGGCUAUUUGGAGUCUGGUUCCAUAUGAAUUUUAGGAUCGUUUUUUCUAAUUCUAUGAAGAAUGACAUUGUUAUUUUGAUAGAGAUUGCAUUGAAUCUGUAGAUUGCUUUGGGCAAUAUGGUCAUUUUAAUGAUAUUGAUUCUUCCCAUCCAUGAGCAUGGGAUAUUUUGCCAUUUGUUUGUGUUUUUUCAAUUUCUUUCACCCAAGUUUUGUAGUUUGCCUUGUAUAGAUCUUUCCCCUUUUGUUUAAUGUAUUCCAAGGCUUUGGGGUUUUUUUGUUUGUUUGUUUUUGUAGCUAUUUUAAAUGGGAUUGCCUGCUUGAUUUCUUUGUUGACUAGAUCAUUAGUGGUGUACAGAAAUGCUACAAAUUUUUGUACAUUGCUUUUGUAUUCUACAACUUUACUGAAUUCAUUUAUCAAAUCUAAGAGAUAUUUUGGUGGAAUCUUCAGGCUUUCCUAAAUAUGAGGUCAUAUCAUCAGCAAAAAUGGACAAUUUGACCUCUCCUUUUCCAAUUUGGAUGCAUUUUAUUUCUUUCUGAUUGCUCUGGCUAAGACUUCCAGGGCUAUACUGAAUAAAAGUAGUGAAAGUGAGCAUCCUUGACUUGUUCCAGUUCUGACAGGAAAGGAUUUCAACUUUUCCCCAUUUAGUAUGCUGUUAGUUGUGUGUUUGUCAUAUAUGGCCUUUGUUAUAUUGAGGUGUGUUCUGUCUAUGUUUAGUUUGUUUUUAAUCCUAAAGGGAUAUUGAAUUAUAUAAAAUGUUUUUUGUGUGUCAGUUGAAAUCGUUUUUUCUUUCAUUCUAUUGACAUGAUGUAUCAGCUUAAUUGAUUUGUGUAUCUUGAAUCAUCCUUGCAGUCCUGCUAUAAAUCCUACUUGAUCAUGGUGUAUCAUCUUCUUGAUUUGCUGUUGGAUUCAGUUUGCUUGUAUUUUAUGGAGGAUUUUUACAUCUAUGUUCAUUAGGGAUAUUGGCAAGUAGUUUUCUUUUUUUGUUGUGUCAUCUGAUAUUGGUUAUCAGGGUGAUGCUGGCCUCAUUAAAUGAGUUGGGAAAAAUUUGGUUAGGAGAAGGAAGAAGAUACUAGUUAUUUGUGAGGUUAUGUGGUAACUGCAAGUGGGUUGAUUUUAGGAUAAAAAUUUGUAGCUAAAUGGUAGGUUGUUUCAAAAAUUGGCAUUAUCUAGAUAUUAAACAAUAAUAUGCUAAAAGGAUUUUCUAUACACAAAAGCAGAUAACUAUAAUAUCAGAGAUAUUAUAGAACUGAGAAUGAUAAAACUACUUUUUCUAAAGUAUAUAUGAAAAUCAGAUUUAAAAAGGCUACUACAGUGCAAGGUGUCCAUUUAACUUGAGUAAAUUAGCUAUGCUAGAUAUUCAUGGCUGAUCUGUAUCAUAUGCUAGGAGGACUUGACUUUGUUAGCUAUUGUCCUUGAAAAACUGAGCCAUUGCUGUAAACUGGAUUACAAACUUGAGUCCCUGGAAUUAAUCUUUGCUUUUCACUGGUUCUCUCUCCAGUGUAGCUUCUGUUGGGAAUCAAGCGGGAGUAAGAUGAACACUUUGUGUAGUAGUUUCCACCUUUUUUAUUACAGCUCAGACUUUAAAUCUACAUUUUACUCUCAUCAAUAGAAUCAUUCUUACCACCUCACCUCAGUCCCCGGAUGCCCCUGGGAUGAUAAACCAAUGACAGUUACAAUUGACCUUUUGUUUUCUUUUCAUUUUCUGCCUUCUUUCAAUUGUGUAAUUGUAAAAUACAUGUGUUCAACAUAAACCUAGCCAAAUCAAAUUGGUGAUCUUUGCCCUGAAAAUUCAUUGUAAUUUUACUAUUGUCACCUUAUAUUGUUUGACUAUGAUUCUAGGUUUUACCUUUGUGUCUGGUAAUUAGUAAAUGUUGGUAUUCUCAAAGUGAAUCUUAUCAUGUUCUUCUGCCUUGUGGUGUUCAUUAUAAUGCACCAGAGAUAUUCUAAAAUAAAAGCCUGGAUUUGGGAUUUAGGCAAUUACUCAAUAACUCCUCCUGCCCUUUUGCAGUCUCUUGGUAGUCACUCAAAGGACACAGCUAUUGCACGAUUGCACGAUUUCUGUGAUGCCAGACUUGUCUGACUAAACCUCUACUUUAUGCAGACUGAAUAUUUUUAUAGCCCUUCAUUAAAGUCCUUGGGUUGUAAGUGCUGAGAAUCAGCCUCUCUGAUGAUUUUCCCAAACACCAGUGGCAUGAAAUCCCAUGAACGAAUCCUUUGCUGAAUGAUGGCUUUUUUUUUUUUUUUUUUCGGUGUUUCACUCUCGUUGCCCAGGCUGGAGUGUAAUGGAGCAAUCUUGGC
rnacentral:lncRNA from 10 species